UACGAAGGGGGCUAGCGUUGCUCGGAUUGACUGGGCGUAAAGGGCGCGUAGGCGGUUUGUACAGUCAGACGUGAAAUUCCGGGGCUCAACCUGGGGGCUGCGUUUGAUACGUGCGAGCUUGAGUUCGGAAGAGGGUCGUGGAAUUCCCAGUGUAGCGGUGAAAUUCGUAGAUAUUGGGAAGAACACCGGUGGCGAAGGCGGCGACCUGGUCCGAUACUGACGCUGAGGAGCGAAAGCGUGGGGAGCAAACAGG
rnacentral:rRNA from 1 species